rnacentral:rRNA from 1 species
UACGGGGGGGGCAAGCGUUGUUCGGAAUUACUGGGCGUAAAGGGCUCGUAGGUGGCCAACUAAGUCAGACGUGAAAUCCCUCGGCUUAACCGGGGAACUGCGUCUGAUACUGGAUGGCUUGAGAUUGGGAGAGGGAUGCGGAAUUCCAGGUGUAGCGGUGAAAUGCGUAGAUAUCCGGAGGAACACCGGUGGCGAAGGCGGCUUCCUGGACCGACACUGACGCUGAGGCGCGAAAGCUAGGGGAGCAAACGGG